AUGGCGACGGGCAGCUCAGUAGUAGUACUGGCCGUCCUGGCCACCGUCGCGGCGCUGGUCUCCCCGGCCAUGUCCCUACCCGUCUUCACCGGCGACGUCGGCGUCUCUCCGGGCUUCCACGCCGCGUCGUGCCCGCAGCUGGACGGCAUCGUGCGGUCGUCAGUGGAGGCGGCGCUGCAGCUGGAGGUGGCGCUGGCGGCGGGCCUGCUCCGGCUCUACUUCCACGACUGCUUCCCGCAGGGCUGCGACGCCUCCAUCCUCCUCAACACCACCUCCGCCCGCGAGACGGCGCUGCUCCCCAACCUCACCAUCCGGCCGCGCGCCAUGCAGCUCAUCGAGUCCAUCCGCGCCAGGGGCAACCUCGACAGCCUCGCCCCGGCGUCACAGGAGAAGGUGUCCCACCUCCCGUCGCCCCUGACGGCCAGCGUGGCCAAGCUGCUGGAGUCCUUCCGCACCCGGGGCCUCGGCGACGUGGCCGACCUCGUGGCGCUCUCCGGCGCGCACACCAUCGGGCGGUCGCACUGCGGCAGCUUCGCGGACUGGUCCCGGCGCGCGGACGACACCUUCUCGCGGAAGCUGGCGGCCAACUGCAGCAAGCACCCGGACCGGCUGCAGAACCUGGACGUGAUCACCCCCGACCUGUUCGACAACGGGUACUACAAGGCGCUGCGGUUCAACCAGGGCGUGCUCACCUCCGACAUGGCGCUCGUCAAGAAUAAGACCACGGCGGCCAUCGUGAAGCGGUUCGCCAAGAGCAAGGACGCCUUCUUCCGGCAGUUCGCCAGGUCCAUGGAGAAGCUCGCCAGGGCGCCCAAGCCGGCGGGCAACGUGGGCGAGAUCCGGCGCUUCAGCUGCUUCAGGACCAACGCCCAGCGCGCCGACGCUGCCGUGGACGCUGCCGGUGAGGAGGAGGAGGGCUUCGCCGCCUCCGCCUGA
rnacentral:rRNA from 1 species